rnacentral:other from 1 species
UGCUCCCUGCGGUGUUCGAGGCCGGUUGCGAUUUCUGAACCAAUGCAUGCGUGCACGGCUGCGGUCUACCCCGGUGCGGGUGUGCGCGUGACCCGUCUCAUGUGCCCGAAGCGCCUCUGAUUGCGGCCAUCUUGAACCCCGGUUCAAGAUUCCGCGGCAGGUCACGGCACAGGCGGGGAGCCU